rnacentral:lncRNA from 1 species
CCUAAUGACCGACUACCUAAUCUACAAUCAUGAUACUACAAUUAUAGAUAAUAACUACAUGCCACGAUUGUUAGUGGGCAUAAAUGCCCACUAACUUCAUGCUUAUGGUCCGAUAAUCAGGAUUAACUAUUUUUUAGUACCAUAAAUAUUGGGAAUGCAUGCUCGACGGUUACACCCAAGUCAUUUAUAAAGGAGAGGUAAAAGAAUAAGCAAUGGUAAG